rnacentral:rRNA from 1 species
AUUGAACGCUGGCGGCAUGCCUUACACAUGCAAGUCGAACGGUAACAGGUUAAGCUGACGAGUGGCGAACGGGUGAGUAAUGUAUCGGAACGUGCCCAGUCGUGGGGGAUAACUGCUCGAAAGAGCAGCUAAUACCGCAUACGACCUGAGGGGGAAAGCGGGGGAUCGCAAGACCUCGCGCGAUUGGAGCGGCCGAUAUCAGAUUAGGUAGUUGGUGAGGUAAAGGCUCACCAGGCCGACGAUCUGUAGUUGGUCUGAGAGGACGACCAGCCACACUGGGGCUGAGACACGGCCCAGACUCCUACGGGAGGCAGCAGUGGGGAAUUGUGGACAGUGGUCGGAAGCAUGAUCCAGCCAUGCCGCGUGCGGGAAGAAGGCCUUCGGGUUGUAAACCGCUUUUGUCAGGGAAGAAAAGGUUCUGGCUAAUACCUGGGACUCAUGACGGUACCUGAAGAAUAAGCACCGGCUAACUACGUG